ACACAUGCAAGUCGAACGAAGCGCUUAAAUGGAUUUCUUCGGAUUGAAGUUUUUGUGACUGAGUGGCGGACGGGUGAGUAACGCGUGGGUAACCUGCCUCAUACAGGGGGAUAACAGUUAGAAAUGACUGCUAAUACCGCAUAAGCGCACGGUGCUGCAUGGCACAGUGUGAAAAACUCCGGUGGUAUGAGAUGGACCCGCGUCUGAUUAGCUAGUUGGUGGGGUAACGGCCUACCAAGGCGACGAUCAGUAGCCGGCCUGAGAGGGUGAACGGCCACAUUGGGACUGAGACACGGCCCAAACUCCUACGGGAGGCAGCAGUGGGGAAUAUUGCACAAUGGGGGAAACCCUGAUGCAGCGACGCCGCGUGAGCGAAGAAGUAUUUCGGUAUGUAAAGCUCUAUCAGCAGGGAAGAAAAUGACGGUACCUGACUAAGAAGCACCGGCUAAAUACGUGCCAGCAGCCGCGGUAAUACGUAUGGUGCAAGCGUUAUCCGGAUUUACUGGGUGUAAAGGGAGCGUAGACGGUUGUGUAAGUCUGAUGUGAAAGCCCGGGGCUCAACCCCGGGACUGCAUUGGAAACUAUGUAACUAGAGUGUCGGAGAGGUAAGCGGAAUUCCUAGUGUAGCGGUGAAAUGCGUAGAUAUUAGGAGGAACACCAGUGGCGAAGGCGGCUUACUGGACGAUCACUGACGUUGAGG
rnacentral:rRNA from 1 species